rnacentral:ncRNA from 2 species
CGCUCAUCCAGAGGGGCAGAGGGAACGGCCCGACGAAGCCCCGGCAACCGGCACCCACCACUUUCCACCGCGACGAAUCCGCGGCCGGGAGGUCGGCGGGCCACGGUGCCAAUUCCGACCCGCCACGCGGGAGAGAUGAGGA